rnacentral:lncRNA from 1 species
GUGAGAACUCAGAGCUGGCCAUUCCCACCUAGACUCUGAAGCUCCACCCCCUAACCCUUGGUAUAAAAGACCAACUCAGGGCACAGGAUUCGUUCCCUCCAGGCAACAGGCUGAAGAUUACAGUGAGCAUCAGAGAGCUAAGACUGGAGAAGACUCUUAGAGAUGAGUGAACAUCUGGAAGCCCCACGUUCUGACAACACAGUGGAGCUCCCUGGACCCACUACCCCCCCAAAGUAAUGAAUCCUGAGAUUCUCAUCUUGAAAGACCAGCCAGAAAUCGUCUUCUGUCAUCUCUCAGACCCUCUGGACCAGUUGUGCCCCUCAGAAACAGAGAAUCCUGAAAUUCUUGUCUUGGAAGACCAGCCAGAAACCUUCAUCUGUUAUGCUGAAGCUCCCUCACACCUCCAGGGCCAGAUGCACCCCUCAGCAAGGCAAAUACAACUCAACAGCCUGGCCAGAAGCUGGGAGAAUCAGGAAGAGCCAGAGGUGGGCUUUAUCUACAGCCAGACAGCUAAAAGCUUUUACCAGAUGCCCCAGGUGUUUCCUCCAGGUGAAGCAUUCUUUCAGCUACUCCAUAUAAUGCCCUUCCUCCAACUGGCCACAUCAGGCACUUCCCAGCCAGGAGAGGCACAGCUCACACUCCGAUGCUGCAGGAUUCUGAGAAUAAGAAACUGGACUUGAGCCAGCAGGUCUUCCAGAACGCGCACUGAAGAUUUGCCUCCUUAAUACAAAGUCAAAGGUGGCCCUUCCACAAGCUCCCCUCCACUGCCAGGAGAAGACUCGUGUAUAACCUUUGAGCAGCCCUUCCCCAGCUGAGCCUGAGGAGGCCUGGCCCCAAUGCUGACUUCCUCUGCCCAUCACUAUGGGACCCCACUUUGUCACUUCCUCUUCCUAGGCCUCUGUUUCCCAGCUCUCUAAAAUGAGAGGCUUCCACUCAAUGUUCCUUGAGCUCCCAAACUGCUGUCAACCUCUGAUUCUUUGUAUGCCCCCAUUUGAACAUUUAUAAUAAAUAGAUUGUCC